UGGGUUGCCCGGGAUUCGAACCCGGAACUAGUCGGAGCCGAGUACUCUACCGUUGAGUUAGCAACCCGAAGA
rnacentral:tRNA from 1 species